GAGGGUAUAGCUCAGUGGUAGAGUGCGUGCUUAGCAUGCAUGAGGUCCUGGGUUCACUCCCCAGUACUUCUA
rnacentral:tRNA from 1 species